CCCUUAGAUGUUCUGGGAUGCACGCGCGUUACACUGAUUCGUUCAACGAGUUUAUGACCUUGCCUGAUGAGGUGGGGGAAUCUUUUCAAAUCGCAUCGUGAUGGGGAUAGAGUAUUGUAACUGUUAGUCUUCAACGAGGAAUUCCUAGUAAGUACGUGUCAUCAGCUCGUACUGAUUAUGUCCCUGCCCUUUGUUCACACCGCCCGUCGCUCCUACCGAUUGAGUGCUCAGGUGAAUAGUAUGGACUGCAUCAGUGUUCGGUCUCCGAAUGUUGACGCGAGAAAUUCUGUGAAUCUUAUUGCUUAGAGGAAGGAGAAGUCGUAACA
rnacentral:rRNA from 1 species